UACAGAGGUGGCAAGCGUUGUUCGGAAUUACUGGGCGUAAAGCGCGUGUAGGCGGUUUUUCAAGUCCUGUGUGAAAGCCCUGGGCUCAACCCAGGAAGUGCGCAGGAUACUGGAUGACUGGAGUGGCGGAGAGGAUGGCGGAAUUCCCGGUGUAGAGGUGAAAUUCGUAGAUAUCGGGAGGAACACCUGUGGCGAAGGCGGCCAUCUGGACGUCAACUGACGCUGAGACGCGAAAGCGUGGGUAGCAAACAGG
rnacentral:rRNA from 1 species